GACGAACGCUGGCGGCGUGCUUAACACAUGCAAGUCGAACGGAAAGGCCCUGCUUUUGUGGGGUGCUCGAGUGGCGAACGGGUGAGUAACACGUGAGUAACCUGCCCUUGACUUUGGGAUAACUUCAGGAAACUGGGGCUAAUACCGGAUAGGAGCUCCUGCUGCAUGGUGGGGGUUGGAAAGUUUCGGCGGUUGGGGAUGGACUCGCGGCUUAUCAGCUUGUUGGUGGGGUAGUGGCUUACCAAGGCUUUGACGGGUAGCCGGCCUGAGAGGGUGACCGGCCACAUUGGGACUGAGAGACGGCCCAGACUCCUACGGGAGGCAGCAGUGGGGAAUAUUGCACAAUGGGCGGAAGCCUGAUGCAGCAACGCCGCGUGCGGGAUGACGGCCUUCGGGUUGUAAACCGCUUUCGCCUGUGACGAAGCGUGAGUGACGGCAAUGGGUAAAGAAGCACCGGCUAACUACGUG
rnacentral:rRNA from 1 species